rnacentral:rRNA from 1 species
AGCGGCGAGUGAAGCGGCAAAAGCUCAAAUUUGAAAUCUGGCGUCUUUGGCGUCCGAGUUGUAAUUUGAAGAAGGUAUCUUUGGGCCCGGCUCUUGUCUAUGUUCCUUGGAACAGGACGUCACAGAGGGUGAGAAUCCCGUGCGAUGAGAUGACCCGGGUCUGUGUAAAGUUCCUUCGACGAGUCGAGUUGUUUGGGAAUGCAGCUCUAAGUGGGUGGUAAAUUCCAUCUAAAGCUAAAUAUUGGCGAGAGACCGAUAGCGAACAAGUACAGUGAUGGAAAGAUGAAAAGAACUUUGAAAAGAGAGUGAAAAAGUACGUGAAAUUGUUGAAAGGGAAGGGCUUGAGAUCAGACUUGGUAUUUUGCAUGCUGCUCUCUCGGGGGCGGCCGCUGCGGUUUACCGGGCCAGCAUCGGUUUGGAGCGGCAGGAUAAUGGCGGAGGAAUGUGGCACGGCUUCUGCUGUGUGUUAUAGCCUCUGACGAUACUG